rnacentral:rRNA from 1 species
CACGUAGUUAGCCGUGGCUUAUUCAAGGGGUACCGUCUUCCGCUCUUCCCCCUUAAAAGAAGUUUACAACCCGAAAGCCUUCUUCCUUCACGCGGCGUUGCUGGGUCAGACUUGCGUCCAUUGCCCAAUAUUCCCCACUGCUGCCUCCCGUAGGAGUCUGGGCCGUAUCUCAGUCCCAAUGUGGCCGGCCAACCUCUCAGUCCGGCUACUGAUCGUCGCCUUGGUGGGCCGUUACCUCACCAACUAGCUAAUCAGACGCGAGGCCAUCUUCCAGCGAUAAAUCUUUGACGUCAGAGUCAUGCGGCUCCAACGCAUCAUGCGGUAUUAGCAGUCGUUUCCAACUGUUGUCCCCCUCUGGAAGGCAGGUUCCUCACGCGUUACUCACCAGUCCGCCACUAAGCAUUCCCAUCCGUUGUCCGAAAACUCCUUCAGGGGUGCUCCGUUCGACUUGCAUGUGUUAAGCACGCCGCCAGCGUUCGUCCUGAGCCAGGAUCAAACUCU